UUUAUUUGGGCAAAACAAAUACAAGGUUUGCCCGCAAGGUAAGGCAAAAGGAGGGCGUAAACCUCCUGACUAAGGCCUUUACCUCGCUGGAGCUGCAGAAAUAGCGGUUUACUGAAAAAACAAA
rnacentral:lncRNA from 1 species